rnacentral:rRNA from 1 species
AUUGAACGCUGGCGGCAGGCCUAACACAUGCAAGUCGAACGAGUGGCGGACGGGUGAGUAAUGUCUGGGAAACUGCCUGAGGGAGGGGGAUAACUACUGGAAACGGUAGCUAAUACCGCAUAACAUCAGAUGAGCCGACAUGGGAUUAGCAUGUUGGUGGGGUAACGGCUCACCAAAGCGACGAUCCCUAGCUGGUCUGAGAGGAUGACCGGCGACACUGGAACUGAGACACGUUCCAGACUCCUACGGGAGGCAGCAGUGGGGAAUAUUGCACAAUGUGCGCAAGCCUGAUGCAGCCAUGCCGCGUGUAUGGAGAAGGCCUUCAGGUUGUAAAGUACUUUCAGCGGGGAGGCGUUACCCGCAGAAGAAGCACCGGCUAACUCCGUGCCAGCAGCCGCGGUAAUUC